rnacentral:lncRNA from 1 species
CUCAAUUUUAAAAUACAGCUCUGUUGCUUCCUAGCUGAAUCCUCGUUUUUCAUGCCUAAAACAUAGGGUAUCAUAAAUUUGUUUCAUAUAGUUGCUGCCUUGGCAUCCAUUUUUUUUUCUUUUUUUCCUUUUGGUUUUAAAAUCUCUACAAUAUUUAUUUAUUUAUUUAUUUAUAUUUUUUAGAGAUGGGGUCUUGCUUCGUCACCCAGGCUGGAGUUCAGUGGUGCAAUCAUAGCCAACUGCAGCCUCAAAUCCCCGAGCUCAAGUGAUUCUCCCACUUCAGCCUCCUGAGUAGCUGGGACUGUAGCUGUUCUGGAUAGAACACAUCCUACUCUGAUCUACAGGCAAGGCAUCCUCUUUAUUGUUUGGCUCUGAUAGACUGCUUAAGAGGAUGAAUAUGCAUCAGCACCCUUCAUUCACUCCAUCCCACCUGCCAGAGUCACCUGUGAUAUGACAAACUACUUCAGACGGAGACAGAAACCUCAAAAGAAAGCUCUCUGAAAGGCAAGUACCAACAAUGCUCACAGUAGCUUGAAAUUUCCUGGAAGCGAUUCUUGCCAUGGCUAAGGAAAGCACUUUGGACACUGUGACUUUAAUGGCACCAUAAAAAUAACAAGGCAUUAAACAAGCCUCAGCCUUAAUAGGCUGGAAGAGGGAGAGUGGAGAAAAACAUCCAAAUUACCCAAAUCCAACUAACGGCACAUUCAAUCGAUGUAAAUACAUUACUCAAGGUUCUCUAAUAACCCUGAGGUUUCUCCUAUUUUCUAAAAAGAAGUGUGAAUGACUGCCAUUCUCAGACUGCACUAGAAGUGCUACUAUAGGCAUUGAAAUUUGGAGUGAGAAACUUGGGAAGGAAUAGGGAUGGAAUGCAGGAAAAGUUUGAAUUCUGACUAUGAAUAUAAAUGGGCUUACAAUUUCCAACAAUGGUAUUUAACAUGGUAGAUGCAGGCAUGGGGCCUGGUAAACUUACAAGUUGGAGAAGGAAUCACACAUCAUGCAAUUUAAGGCCAGGGGAAGCAUCUUUAGAAAUCUUUUAUUAAUAAUUAGCCCCUCAGUUUUGAUGUGAGGCACCGAGAACCAAGAGAUGAACUGACUUCCCCAAGACAACACAGUGACCUCUUGGGGCAAGAGUUCCACAGCCUAGAUUUUCUGUUACCUUGUUCAGUUCUUAGAAACUAUGAUACAAGUUGGCAGGAUCACCAUGUGUAACAGUCCUGAAGAUGAAAAACAAUAGGAAUAGAAGUGACGGCUCCACUUCUUCCAUCCUCAAUUUGAAAGAAAACAAGAAGUUGCUUUACUCACCUACGGAGAAAAACUCAUUCAUUUUCUUUUUGUAGAUUUUGAAGUCAACUUCUAAGAAGACACAGAAAAUGAUCCGAUCCACCUAGAGGCAAAAGAUAAAACACUCAAAGUGAAAAAAAAUAUGGCAAUUGCCCUGCCAGGACAUAGCCGUAGAACAAAAACAAAUGGAAAGGCCUCAUACAGAUUUUUGGUUCUAUACUGCUAUCUACAUCAUAGCAUUGAGUGAAGUUCAAGGAUGUGUGUAAGAAUGUGUGUGUGUGUGUGUGCGUGUGUGUACUCUGUAUAUAAAUAAACCUAUGGGCUCUUUGGUGGAAAGAUGCUAUAUAAAUCAAAUAAGAAAUAAUAAAUGACAAUAAGCCACUUUGCAGCAAGCUAUAAAUAAGAUCUGAGAUUCCGACAGGAUAGCUAGACUUUAUGUCCUAUAAAACAGCCACACGAGAGGUAUACAGCAGAAUGACAAUAAAGUAUGUCAGUAAACAAAGAGCUCAUUGUCCUACUCUUGCUAGACAAAUAUAUUUAUCAAACCUGUUAGUAUUUGAACAAGGCCUAAAAAGCUUCCAUGCAGUUUAGUUGGCAUGAAGCCACUUGCUUUAAUUUAACACACUUGGAAAUGCAACAGAAAUAAAAAGUAACUAGCUGACAGUGACGCAAGGUCGAUAUAACAUUUAAUUUUGUAGAUAUUAUUGAAUAAGUAAAUGCCACCUCAAAAGUAAAAUGUGUGCAUAGUCCCUUUUUUGUUUUGAGGGAACUUCUGUAUGUAAAGAGUUUCUUGGAAACAUUCAGAGAGUAAUAUAGUAAAUGGAGAAGAGACACGGAGUAUACAUAAUAGCUCACAUAUAUCUGAUUAAAUCAGUGACUUAAUUUUGUGUCCUGGAAAUAAAUAACCCUUUAGUUAUUUUGUUUUAACAACAUAAAAAAAUUGAAAAGCACUCACUGGCAAGUUGCAUAGAACAUCAAAUGAGGUGUUUCUCGUGGCAGUAGGAAAUGGAAGUGGGUGUACACAUGGCAGGACAAGAAAGAACCCCCAUGGAAGUCACCCACCUAACCUCCCUGCUCUCCAAACCUGUGUGAUGCAGAUCUCACUAGUAAGACAGUUCCCAGUAGAAAAGGAGAUCUACAGGGGCAAGAAGUAGGGGCUGGGUUAUAAACAAUCACAUUUUCUGACGGAAGACCAGAGAUUUGGCUCCUUAGUCUCUGCCCAAGCCUAGACCUCACUUAGGGUAGACUGCCUCUUGGAAAAUCACUCAGUUUCUAACCUGUAAUCAUCAAAGACCAUGCAGCCCUUAUAACUGCCUUCAAAGGAUGGAUUAUAAGGGAAACGGGAAAUGGAACAACUAGAGUACAAACAACCACAUUUCUUUUUUCUUGUGUUCACUUUCGUGUCUGGUGUCCAGUCCUAUCUGCCUAUCAUUAGCAUUUUCUAUAAAUGCUAAACCUGUCAUUGUCAACUCAUUCCCCAGGUGAACUCUAAAUUUAGUUGAAUAAAUGUAAACUGUGCAAUAGUGA